rnacentral:rRNA from 1 species
GAGACGACGCGUGGCGGCGUGCCUAAUACAUGCAAGUCGAACGGUCUUUCUAUGGAAGCUUGCUUCACUGAGAAGAUAGUGGCGGAACGGGUGAGUAACACGGUGGGUAACCUGCCAUAAGGAGGGGGAUAACAUCCGGAAACGGGUGCUAAUACCGCAUAGUUUUCUUGAUCGCAUGAUCGGGAAAGGAAAGACGGCCUUUGUGCUGUCGCUUAUGGAUGGACCCGCGGCGUAUUAGUUAGUUGGUGAGGUAACGGCUCACCAAGACGAUGAUACGUAGCCGACCUGAGAGGGUGAUCGGCCACAUUGGGACUGAGACACGGCCCAAACUCCUACGGGAGGCAGCAGUAGGGAAUCUUCCGCAAUGGACGAAAGUCUGACGGAGCAACGCCGCGUGAGUGAAGAAAGGUUUUCGGAUCGUAAAACUCUGUUGUCAGAGAAGAACAAGUUGGAGAGUAACUGCUCCAGCCUUGACGGUAUCUGACCAGAAAGCCACGGCUAACUACGUGCCAGCAGCGGC